UGUAAUUGUGUUUACCAUGUACUUAUUUUAAAUAUACUCCGAUGAAGGUUAGGUCAUACAAGCAUUAAUUUAUUUUGUACUUGCACUUCUUUCCCCUUUUCCAUGAAGUUCUCCCAAGUAACACGAACAUAGAUAGUGUGUAAGGAAAGUCUCAAAGUACAUAUUUUGUGAUAAAGGGAUGCAAUUUAAACACGGCAGUGUGUUCAAGGGGCAAAGGUUCAAUCAAACAGACAAGUGC